rnacentral:misc_RNA from 1 species
UACAGAGGGUGCAAGCGUUGUUCGGAAUUACUGGGCGUAAAGCGUGUCUAGGCGGAUCUCUAAGUCAGGUGUGAAAUCCCUCGGCUCAACCGAGGAGGGUCGCUUGAAACUGGAGACCUUGAGUGUCGGAGAGGUAGGUGGAAUUCCUAGUGUAGAGGUGAAAUUCGUAGAUAUUAGGAGGAACAUCAGAGGCGAAAGCGGCUUACUGGCCGACCACUGACGCUGAAGCACGAAAGCGUGGGGAGCAAACAGG